GGGAACAGAAGAAACAUUACCCACAUCUUCCACUUCUCUAGCUCGAGCUUGGAUCAAGUGUUGAUUGGGAUCCGUAGCCCAUUUAGGCUUCAGCCCUAAAACUCUAAAGUUUUUCCAAGAUCAGGCCAGGGCUUCAUCAAAACCCAUGUGACAUGGUCCAAUUUUAACCAUACUCAGACAUGCAUGAGUGAGAGAGAGAGAGAGACAGAGAGUGGGGGUAGGGAUGGCAAUCAGGUUGGAUCGGGUCAUAAACGGAUUGGAUCAUAUACGGGUCGAAUUAGAAAAUAUCAAAUCUGAAUCCGACCUAUUUAUUAAACAGGUUAGAUUUUUCAAUCUAAAUCGAACCUAUUUAAUAAACAGAUCAUCCGAUCCGACCUGUUUAAUUUGUUUAUAAAUAGGUAACCUAUUUAACUGAUCCGAUCCAACCUGUUUACUAAAUAACUAACCUAUUUGCUAAACCCAACUUGAUCUAACCUGUUUAACUUGAUUAUUGAAAAAAAUCAGUUGUUUUUGAUCCAAUACUAUUUAAAUUUUGACAUGUUUGGUUUAACCUUAUCAACAAACUUAAAUAUAAACAUCAAAAUUAGAUAUCAAAAAUAAAUAAACUUUUUUUGGUAGGAAGCUGUAAUUUUAUUUACUGACUCAAGUAUACAUUAUACAACAAGCAAACC
rnacentral:lncRNA from 1 species